rnacentral:rRNA from 1 species
UCCUACGGGGCGCAGCAGUGAGGAAUAUUGGUCAAUGGCCGCAAGGCUGAACCAGCCAAGCCGCGUGAAGGACGAAGGUGCCAAGCAUUGUAAACUUCUUUUGUCAAGGGGCAAAAUCAGGCUCGAGAGGCUGACCGAGGGUACUUGAAGAAAAAGCAUCGGCUAACUCCGUGCCAGCAGCCGCGGUAAUACGGAGGAUGCGAGCGUUAUCCGGAUUUAUUGGGUUUAAAGGGUGCGCAGGCGGACUGUCAAGUCAGCGGUAAAAGCGCGGGGCUCAACCCCUGCGAGCCGUUGAAACUGGCUGU